GAUGAACGCUGGCGGCGUGCCUAAUACAUGCAAGUCGAGCGAACAGACGAGGAGCUUGCUCCUCUGACGUUAGCGGCGGACGGGUGAGUAACACGUGGAUAACCUACCUAUAAGACUGGGAUAACUUCGGGAAACCGGAGCUAAUACCGGAUAAUAUAUUGAACCGCAUGGUUCAAUAGUGAAAGACGGUUUUGCUGUCACUUAUAGAUGGAUCCGCGCCGCAUUAGCUAGUUGGUAAGGUAACGGCUUACCAAGGCAACGAUGCGUAGCCGACCUGAGAGGGUGAUCGGCCACACUGGAACUGAGACACGGUCCAGACUCCUACGGGAGGCAGCAGUAGGGAAUCUUCCGCAGUGGGCGAAAGCCUGACGGAGCAACGCCGCGUGAGUGAUGAAGGUCUUCGGAUCGUAAAACUCUGUUAUUAGGGAAGAACAAAUGUGUAAGUAACUAUGCACGUCUUGACGGUACCUAAUCAGAAAGCCUCGGCUAACUACGU
rnacentral:rRNA from 1 species